CGGUAAGGUGAUAUGAACCGUUAUAACCGGCGAUGUCCGAAUGGGGAAACCCAGUGUGACUCGUCACACUAUCAUUAACUGAAUCCAUAGGUUAAUGAGGCGAACCGGGGGAACUGAAACAUCUAAGUACCCCGAGGAAAAGAAAUCAACCGAGAUUCCCCCAGUAGCGGCGAGCGAACGGGGAGGAGCCCAGAGCCUGAAUCAGCAUGUGUGUUAGUGGAAGCGUCUGGAAAGGCGCGCGAUACAGGGUGACAGCCCCGUACACAAAAGCGCAUGUGCUGUGAGCUCGAUGAGUAGGGCGGGACACGUGGUAUCCUGUCUGAAUAUGGGGGGACCAUCCUCCAAGGCUAAAUACUCCUGACUGACCGAUAGUGAACCAGUACCGUGAGGGAAAGGCGAAAAGAACCCCGGCGAGGGGAGUGAAACAGAACCUGAAACCGUGUACGUACAAGCAGUGGGAGC
rnacentral:rRNA from 9 species